rnacentral:tRNA from 1 species
AGCGGAUACAUGGGAUCAACGUCCUGGAUCAGAGGAAUCAUAAUCCUUGUGUCGGGAGUUCAAAUCUCUCCCUCGCUACCA